GAUGAACGCUGGCGGCGUGCCUAAUACAUGCGAGUCGAGCGAACAGACGAGGAGCUUGCUCCUCUGACGUUAGCGGCGGACGGGUGAGUAACACGUGGAUAACCUACCUAUAAGACUGGGAUAACUUCGGGAAACCGGAGCUAAUACCGGAUAAUAUAUUGAACCGCAUGGUUCAAUAGUGAAAGACGGUUUUGCUGUCACUUAUAGAUGGAUCCGCGCCGCAUUAGCUAGUUGGUAAGGUAACGGCUUACCAAGGCAACGAUGCGUAGCCGACCUGAGAGUGUGAUCGGCCACACUGGAACUGAGACACGGUCCAGACUCCUCCGGGAGGCAGCAGUAGGGAAUCUUCCGCAAUGGGCGAAAGCCUGACGGAGCAACGCCGCGUGAGUGAUGAAGGUCUUCGGAUCGUAAAACUCUGUUAUUAGGGAAGAACAAAUGUGUAAGUAACUAUGCACGUCUUGACGGUACCUAAUCAGAAAGCCACGGCUAACUACGUG
rnacentral:rRNA from 1 species